AUCAAAUGAAAUGAAGAUUGAACGCAAAAGAAAAAUCAAAUGAUGCACAUGGAAACAACACACGGAAAAAAAGAAGAGAAUUCGAGCAUGUGAGUUACCGAAAUACCAAGGUUGCUACCGCUUUGCGUUGUUGUUGCUGCCGGUAACGGAACUCGGUAACGAAACUGAGUCGAAUGCUGAUGUUGUUGCCGGAAGAACGUCGAGUUGUGAUAUGACGGUUCCGGUUGCAGCCUUUCAGGUUGUAACAAGGGUGGCAGAGGAGAGCUUAAGGGAUUUGUGGUUUUACAGUAGCCGCUAAUGUUCUCUUCUUCUAAUCUGAAUGGUGGCCGCUAAUGUUCUCCUCUUCUUUUCUGAAUGGUGGCCGCUAAUGUUCUCCUCCCCUUUUGUGAACAAUAUCCGCUCCUUUUAUAAUCCCACUGCUAGGGUUUGGAAUUGGUCACUGAUAUCAAAGAGUAAUGGAAUUGGAAGUGCUUUCUUGUGCUGCUCUGUUGUCUAUCCCAUUUUGGUGCUUGCUCUGAAAAAGGUAACUUGUACCUUGUACCUUCUCC
rnacentral:lncRNA from 1 species